rnacentral:rRNA from 1 species
AACGAACGCUGGCGGCGUGCUUAACACAUGCAAGUCGAACGGAAUUAGGGGCUUGCUCCUAAUUUAGUGGCGCACGGGUGAGUAACGCGUGGAUAACCUGCCCUGGUAUCUGGGAUAACAUCUCGAAAGGGGUGCUAAUACCGGAUAAGCCCACGGUCUCUUCGGGGAUUGCGGGAAAAGAUGGCCUCUAUUUAUAAGCUAUCGUAUCAGGAUGGGUCCGCGUACCAUUAGCUAGUUGGUGGUGUAAUGGACCACCAAGGCGACGAUGGUUAGCUGGUCUGAGAGGAUGAUCAGCCACACUGGAACUGAGACACGGUCCAGACUCCUACGGGAGGCAGCAGUGGGGAAUUUUGCGCAAUGGGGGAAACCCUGACGCAGCAACGCCGCGUGAGUGAUGAAGGCCUUCGGGUCGUAAAGCUCUGUCAGAGGGGAAGAAGUGAUAGUGUGCUAAUACCACAUUAUCUUGACGGUACCCUCAAAGGAAGCACCGGCUAACUCCGUGCCAGCAGCCGCGGUAAUACGGAGGGUGCAAGCGUUGUUCGGAUUUAUUGGGCGUAAAGCGCGUGUAGGCGGUCUUUUAAGUCUGAUGUGAAAGCCCCGGGCUCAACCCGGGAAGUGCAUUGGAAACUGGGAGACUUGAAUACGGGAGAGGGUAGUGGAAUUCCUAGUGUAGGAGUGAAAUCCGUAGAUAUUAGGAGGAACACCGGUGGCGAAGGCGGCUACCUGGACCGAUAUUGACGCUGAGACGCGAAAGCGUGGGGAGCAAACAGGAUUAGAUACCCUGGUAGUCCACGCCGUAAACGAUGAGUACUAGGUGUUGCGGGUAUUGACCCCUGCAGUGCCGCAGCUAACGCAUUAAGUACUCCGCCUGGGAAGUACGGUCGCAAGACUA